rnacentral:rRNA from 1 species
GACGAACCGUGCGAACGUUGUUCGGAAUCACUGGGCUUAAAGGGCGCGUAGGCGGGCGGUCAAGUCUAUGGUGAAAUCCAACAGCUUAACUGUUGAACUGCCACGGAUACUGAUUGUCUCGAGGGAAGGUAGGGGCGUGCGGAACAAAUGGUGGAGCGGUGAAAUGCAUUGAUAUCAUUUGGAACUCCGGUGGCGAAGGCGGCACGCUGGACCUUUUCUGACGCUGAGGCGCGGAA